UCGCUUUAAAGCUCUGACGCUGCUUCCUUCAGUACCCUGCCGCAGACUCGCCAUCGGCCUCGCCUAUCUCUGACAAACAGAACCUGACGGGACCGGGAUCGGACCGGAGCAACAUGACGGAAACCAGUAAGACGCACGUCAUCCUGCUGUCCUGCGGCAGCUUCAACCCCAUCACCAAGGGACACAUCCAUAUGUUCGAAAAAGCCAGAGAAUAUCUGCACCAAACAGGACGUUUCAUUGUGAUCGGAGGGAUCAUCUCACCGGUCCACGACUCCUACGGGAAACAGGGCCUGGUGUCGAGCCAACAUCGCCUCACCAUGUGUCAGCUGGCCGUCCAGUCUUCUGAUUGGAUCAGGGUGGACCCCUGGGAGUGUUACCAGGACACCUGGCAGACCACCUGCAGCGUGUUGGAGCAUCACCGUGACCUCAUGAAGAGAGUCACCGGCUGCAUCCUGUCCAACGUCAACACGCCCUCCACCACUCCAGUCAUUGGUCAGCCACAGAACCAGACUCCACCCAUCUACCAGGACCAUAACAACAUGAACCACAAGCCCACAACCAUCAAACUUUGGGGGAAGAUCAGCGAAAGUUUGGGUAAAAUCUGCUGCGUUCGGCCCAACAUGGAGCGCUUCACGUUUGUUGAUGAAAACGCCAACCUGGGGACCGCGGUGAGGUACGAGGAGAUCGAGUUACGCAUCUUGCUCCUGUGUGGCAGUGAUCUCCUGGAGUCCUUCUGCAUCCCUGGCCUGUGGAAGGACAGUGAUAUGGAGGUCAUUGUGGGCGAUUUUGGGAUUGUGGUCGUUCCUCGUGAUGGUGUGGACACAGAGAGGAUCAUGAGUCAUUCCUCCAUCCUUCGCAAAUACAAGGACAACAUCAUCGUGGUGAAGGACCUGACCAACCACCCGAUGUCCAUCGUCAGCUCCACCAAGAGCAGAUGGGGUUAGCGCCGGUUGUGUUGGAGGACAAGCGUGCGACCCACAUUCAGGUCCUUCAGAGAAGCUCAGAGCGGAGAUUUAAAGGCCAGGAAAGAAUUGGAGCUUUAAUGGACCAGAACAAAUUCAUGCAGACUGGCCCUGCAGCACGGAGACGGACACGUCGUGGACUACCUGAGUCAACCCGUCAUCGACUACAUCCUGCAGAGCCAGCUGUACAUCAACGCCUCGGGAUAGGGUCGCUGACCCACCUGCAUGAGAACCGGGACUAAUAUGGAGGGUGGGGGGUUAAACAGCUACCAUCUAUAUGAACACCCCACCAGCCCCCCUGCAGAAAAACCAAACCUGUCUGUCUUCUGUGUCAACAUAUUCUCUUCUUUGAGCUUUCUAACAGGAGCUUCGGUGUCCCUCCUUCUGUGUCAUGUGACUUUAUCUUCAGAGGGGAUUGGUGGGGCGGGGGGGUCAGGGUCUUUGAGUUUAAAGGUUAGAGGUGCAUGACAGGGUUGGACAUGCUCUGUGUUCAUGGACUCCCCGUCUAUAUCAGGGUGAGGACUUCAGGGUCUUCAUGCAACACUUCAGUUGGUUGAUGAAGAGCUGAAGGAUUUCUGGGAGGCUAAAAAUCACUUUUCUGAUUGACUGAGUUUAAUCUGAAAUCUGCUGCAGACCAACAAACUUUAGAUUUAAAUCAUGUUGCUAACAUUUGUAUCUAAUGUUGGAGAAUCCAUCAGUUUUUCUGCAUUUCAUUCUGGUCCGAUCCCAGAUCAUCUUCUCAGCCUUCAGUUGUUGCUGAAAAUGUCAAUCCCAGACACAAGGAAAAUCUGACAGUAAAGAUGUUGUCCAAGAACCUUUUAAUUGUAGUGAUCCUCAGGUGUGAUGUAAACACAGCUACAUGAAACAACGGGGGACAUAAAGCAUAAAGAACCGCUGAAACCACUGUGAUGAAGCCAUAACUAGAGCCCAUUCAGAAAAUAGCUCAUUAAGAUUUCCUCAUGUAAAAAAUACCAAGACAUGCAGCAGUAAAACCGGAUCAGAAACACCAGAACCGGAUAGUUCCUCUGAACCCUCUAACCAGCUGAAACCCGAGACUACGGCUGAUUCUGCUCAGAUUCUCCUCUUUUAAAACAACACCUGCUGUGUGGCUCAUUAAUUAAGAUCUAAAUCCGUAGAUGUGUAAAUGAACUCUGUAGUUCUGCAGCAUGGCCGCCAUAUUGGAUCUUGAUGACAAACCUCAAGGGAAAAUUGAAACUUUGGGGGAGAAAAAAUGUUUUUUAGUUCCAAAGUCUGAACCAGUUCACACAUGAUAAACUCUGACCUGCUUUAGGACAAUCAUGUAGGACCAUCCAACCUUCUUUUAUGAAGCAUUUUUCCUGCUCAUCGCUGCUGGCCGCCAUGAUGUCAUGUGAUGUUUGCCAACAUGUGGACAGAGUGUCAUCUGGACACUUCACUACAAACCAAAGGGUGCAGCAGAACAUUUAGUGAAUUUAAUGAUUCCAACCUUAACCCCAAACAUUUAUAACAGCAGCAACAUGUUCUUCUUCUUCUUCACCUGAGCCUUUUGACCCAAAGGUUAUUUUAGCCCAUUAACAGUAAAUGAAUCUACAACAGUGUUUCUGAAAGGACGUAACUUCACAGCAUAAAGAGCUGUUCCCACCUCUGCUAGCUUAUACAUAAAGAAGGUUCCUGUUUAGAACAUGAAGGUGUUCUUGAGGGACACCUGGAGGUUUCUUCAAAACUUUCAACCACAGAUCUGUGAACAUGUUGACCUGCAGGGUAACUGCUGCGAUGCUUCACGCUGCGGGGAGACUUUACAACAACAAGCAUUGGAGGAGAUGUUGAUGAAGAUGGUGAUGAUGAUGAUGGGUGUUAUGAUAAUGUGAUGAUGAUGAUGAUGAUGAUGAAGAAGCACCUGUUGUAAAGCAUUCAGGAGAGUUUUUUCUCAGUUUGCUCCUGUUUUUAAUCUGCAUGCUUUCUUCUUCUGACUGCUUGGUUCUGGCAUGAACGUUUAUCACUCGUUAGAUUAUUAUGGUCUGUUGUGAACGUGUUUGGGAAAUAAAAAUAAUUUUACUAUAUAAAUAUAGAUCGAAAUAAACCGUAGCUUCAGUGGAGAUCAUCUUCAACGUCAGCUCAUUGUUGAUUCACUCUGUAAGUGUACCAACCUGAGUGUGUGUGUGUGUGUGUGUGUGUGUGUGUGUGUGUGUGUGUGUGUGUGUGUGUGUGUUUGAUCCAAGGAUAUCAGGUUCAUGUUGGUCACCCUCUGUUAGAACAUGUAUUUCUCAGCCGGUUCCUGUUAUAAACUCAGUGUGAGAGAAUCUAGCAGCAUGAAUGAGUCUUUGCAGAUCAGGAUGUACAUUUAUAUAAAGUGUUUCAGGACGUUUGGUCAAAUAAAUCUGAGGAGGCACUAAAACAUUUUCUUUUAAGCUUUAUGAAUUCAGUCAUUAUUCAAUUAUGGUUACAUUUACACCCUCUGCUGGCGAAAUAAAGUAUUUCUUCUAAGAAAUCCA